ACCAUCAGUGUAUCACUCUCCUGAAAGUGGUUAGAAAUGUUAUGAGAACCAGUCUUUCUCUGCCCAACUGGUGGGAUCAAGUAACAAGGGCUUAGACCAGACCAGUUAACUUAAAGACUCUGAAAUGCACCAAAACUUUUUUUCACAAAAUACCUGACAUGGACUUUGACAGCCAAAUUACUUAUCCGUCUUCCAAGGAGGGGCUGAAAUGUAAGGAGUGUUAUAAAGAAGGCAUUAAACUGAAGAAAUCCACUGAUCUGCAUCAGUCUUCAAAAUGACAGGAAGAGAUGUCUCAUGCUCAGUUUGUUGAAGAAUAUCCAACCUGGAAUGUUCUGAACAAGCUGAAAGGUGAAAGAACUCCAUGAAAAGCCAGAACCAUCCCUUGCUCAGCAGUUGGCAGGAACAUCUGAAAUGUACUUCACAGACUGAACUGAAAUCCGUGGUUUAUUAGAAGUGACAGCUCAAACACGCCUUAAAUUGUGAUGAGAGAAUGGUUUCGUCUUCAUCUCUCCUGGGGCUACAGAUGAUGAGCUCAUCAAAUCUCCAUAACAAGUGUGGAGAAUAGCCAAGAGGAAGAAAGAGAACAAACUGCAGCUACCAAAGGAAAUAUGCCUUUUAAAGUUGCAAGGAAGUGUUUCAUCUUCAGGCAUGAAAAAGCAAAAACAAAUCUUCUGUCAUUGAGGAUCUCCCACGACCAGUUCAUCAGUGACAGUCCAGAUCAGACACUGUGUACAACUGCAGGGGCACAAACAGAAGAACCAGCUAUGGAGAGUGCUGGAGUGAACAGAGCUCCGGACCCCAUCCCUCCUUGGGGGCUGGGUAAAAAUGGGUAAGCAGCAUGAUUCUGUCUGCUUUGGCCUUGCCUGGCUGGUGUAAUUACUGCUGGAGCUGGUAACCAGACAGUUUAAGUUCCACUUUAAAGUGAAUCAUCUUCUGUAACCAAGUGGAAUAAAAACAUGGACACACACCUCCUGCAGGCAUCUCCUCUAAGCUACAAUCAAUUGUUGUCCUCCACUUUUGUAUCCUCAGUGUACAAGCACAGACACUGAGUUUCAGAAAAUUGUGUUGGAUGAGAAGGGAGGGGCUACCACUUAAACAUUCACCAUUCAUGAGCCUGUCUUUUUCUUCAGCCUGUCACGAGACACAGUAGACAUGAGAUCCCCUUCUGAAGAGCCAGGUUUCAUCCAAUCCUUAAAACACUGGCCAUGGUAACUUUCUAGU